rnacentral:rRNA from 1 species
CCUACGGGAGGCAGCAGUGGGGAAUUUUGGACAAUGGGCGAAAGCCUGAUCCAGCAAUGCCGCGUGUGUGAAGAAGGCCUUCGGGUUGUAAAGCACUUUUGUCCGGACAAGAAAUCCUUGGCUCUAAUACAGUCGGGGGAUGACGGUACCGGAAGAAAAAGCACCGGCUAACUACGUGCCAGCAGCCGCGGUAAU